rnacentral:tRNA from 7 species
GCCACCUUAGCUCAGCUGGUAGAGCAAUGCUUUCGUAAAGCAGAGGUCCCCGGUUCGAAUCCGGGAGGUGGCUCAA